CUUCUUUUGUCUUUGCUGCAGACGAGACCUUGCACUUCACUUGACCCCCUCCUCCAGGAGGAAGCAGGAUCAGCGCCCGGUGCUGCCCCAGUGCCGGCAGAAGAACAGCGGCUCUUGGAAGCGUGACCUGCUGGGAGAUCGUCGGGGAGAAGAGGACGCGCCUUCUGCGCCGAGGGAGCCUUCUCCUGUAAUCCCACCUUCAAUGAGACGAUGCUCAGCUGCUCCGGAACAGCCACGGAGGGAACGGACGGAAGAGGAGAGCCCAGAUGACUGCGCCCGUGUGAAGUGCCAUGCAGAGACUGAAUGCAGAGACUGAGCCAGCAAACAACGGAGUAGAUAGCAUAGAGAAUUAGUUAACACUAAAAUGUAUUAGUAUAGCAUAGUGCAGUUGUCAAAUAGCUUUGUAAAUAAAUUCACUUUGUUUGUAUCCUUAUCUUGUGUUGUGUAAAAUGAUGGGGAUGGGUAGUCUGAUACUUCAGGAAAUAAAUGAUUUGGAAAC